GAUGAACGCUGGCGGCGUGCCUAAUACAUGCAAGUCGAGCGAACGGACGAGAAGCUUGCUUCUCUGAUGUUAGCGGCGGACGGGUGAGUAAAACGUGGAUAACCUACCUAUAAGACUGGGAUAACUUCGGGAAACCGGAGCUAAUACCGGAUAAUAUUUUGAACCGCAUGGUUCAAAAGUGAAAGACGGUCUUGCUGUCACUUAUAGAUGGAUCCGCGCUGCAUUAGCUAGUUGGUAAGGUAACGGCUUACCAAGGCAACGAUGCAUAGCCGACCUGAGAGGGUGAUCGGCCACAAUGGAACUGAGACACGGUCCUGACUCCUACGGGAGGCAGCAGUAGGGAAUCUUCCGCAAUGGGCGAAAGCCUGACGGAGCAACGCCGCGUGAGUGAUGAAGGUCUUCGGAUCGUAAAACUCUGUUAUUAGGGAAGAACAUAUGUGUAAGUAACUGUGCACAUCUUGACGGUACCUAAUCAGAAAGCCACGGCUAACUACGUG
rnacentral:rRNA from 1 species